CCUACGGGGGGCUGCAGUCGAGAAUCUUCGGCAAUGGACGCAAGUCUGACCGAGCGACGCCGCGUGCGGGAUGAAGGUCUUCGGAUUGUAAACCGCUGUCGGAGGGGAUGAAGUGCACGGGGGUUCUCCCCUGUGUUUGACAGAGCCUCGGAGGAAGCACGGGCUAAGUUCGUGCCAGCAGCCGCGGUAAUACGAACUGUGCGAACGUUAUUCGGAAUCACUGGGCUUAAAGGGUGCGUAGGCGGUUACCUAAGUCAGGUGUGAAAUCUCUCGGCUCAACCGGGAAACUGCGCUUGAAACUGGGUGACUGGAGUGAGGCAGGGGUGUAUGGAACUUCCGGUGGAGCGGUGAAAUGUGUAGAUAUCGGAAGGAACGCCAGCAGCGAAAGCGGUACACUGGGCCUUUUCUGACGCUGAGGCACGAAAGCUAGGGGAGUGAACGGGAUUAGAUACCCGUGUAGUC
rnacentral:rRNA from 1 species